UCCAGUCUUCAUCCUUCAUCACCGCACAAAGACAUCUGGACGAUUGUCAAGGACGUCACAAUCUCUGUGAUAGCUGACAUAUCCCAUGGGCCAUUGCAGAAAAAGGAAAGCAAAGUCACUCUUGCGUGAGCAAAUACAGUAUGGGUGGCUCCAUUAAUGCAGUUAUCUUGCAGUGCUGACUGCAGAUCCAUCAACUGCUAUUGAGGGUAAUGAGUAAGGCGUGGAGGUGAACACAUUACAGAGAGCUGACCUUGCCCAGAAAAGA
rnacentral:lncRNA from 1 species